rnacentral:ncRNA from 18 species
ACAACUCAAUGCGUACGCGCUCGGGGAAAGCCGGUGGGAUUCCGGCACUGACCUGCAACCGUGAGCGGCUGAGCAUCUUCUGCCGCGAGUCGGAUCACCUGGCGUGCUGCGUGCACAGCUU